AUACUCCGGUUUCUCUUCAAAACGCAUAAAUCUUUCGCCUUUUACUAAAGAUUUCCGUGGAGAGAAACAGUUCUGAGUCUUUGAACAAUUUUUUGAGGCUUUGCUUUUAGCAAGGCU